rnacentral:rRNA from 1 species
AACGAACGCUGGCGGCACGCCUAACACAUGCAAGUCGAACGAAGCAUAGCAGCUUGCUGUUAUGACUGAGUGGCAAACGGGUGAGUAACGCGUGGGUAUCUACCUAUGAGAGGGGAAUAACUUUGGGAAACCAAAGCUAAUACCGCAUAAGCCCUGAGGGGGAAAGGAGCAAUCCGCUGAUAGAUGAGCCCGCGUUAGAUUAGGUAGUUGGUAGGGUAAAGGCCUACCAAGCCUAUGAUCUAUAGCUGGUCUGAGAGGAUGGUCAGCCACACUGGGACUGAGACACGGCCCAGACUCCUACGGGAGGCAGCAGUGGGGAAUAUUGGACAAUGGGGGAAACCCUGAUCCAGCGAUGCCGCGUGAGUGAAGAAGGCCUUAGGGUUGUAAAACUCUUUCAGUAGGGAAGAUGAUGACGGUACCUACAGAAGAAGCACCGGCUAACUCCG